CACUCUCUCGCCUUCUCACCCAGCUCUCGCACGACUCUCUCUCGCGAUCAAAGAUCUCUCUGUCUCUCACACCUCUCGCUGUUCACGUUUUGUAUCGUCGCUCUGUCUCAUCGAUCUCACGAAGGAGAAGAUCAGUGACUAGCGCGCUCUCGGUCUCUCUUGCUGUUCACGCUGGUACUCUGUCUUCGCUCUUGGGUUUGAUUGCUCUGUGCCGAAGUUCUUUUUCCCACACCAAUCGGCAGCAGGUUUGGUAGGUAUCAUAUUGCAGAAGUGCUUUUUUCGCUUUUGCCUUUUCAUAUGCACCAAGAAGACAGAAUUGGAAGUAGAGACAGUUCCGCAUGGAGAAGGGAAUCAGAUACAGAAGAUCCACAGAACAGUUUGUAUGUAUCCUUAAAUUAAGCAGGGUUUGAAAAGAACUGUGUUAAUAAAUAUCCUACCUAUUUUUUAUCUCUA